GUGCUCGCUUUGGCAGCACAUGUACUAAAACUGGAAUGAUACCGAGAAGAUGAGCACGGCCCCUGUGAAAGGAUGACACACACAUUCGUGAAGUGCUCCACGUUAAA